CUUUGGGGCCUGGCUGUCGCUCCGAGUUCUUUGAUCCCAAGGUGCGGGUAAUGCCGCGCCCGAUAGAAGUUCGGAGAGGAAAGUCCGGACACCACAGGGCAGGAUGCCGCACGAGCUUCACCGCAAGUGCGGGCGCCGCGCGUCAAGGCGCGGCGACGGACAGUGUCACAGAAAACAAACUGCUCCGCAGUUUGAGUGAAAGGGAAAGGCAGGAGGGAGAGGGGAAACCCGAUCACUCUCACCCUCACUUUCACUUCUCACUCGCGAAGCGAGGGUGAAAAGGUGGGGUAAGAGCCCACCGCGCCGACGGCGACGUCGGCGGCACGAAAAACCCCGUCUGGUGCAAGGCAAAAUAGGUGGCUGGGUGGCCCGCCCGAUAGCCACGGGUAUGCCGCACCUUCCGUCGUUCCCGCGCGCAAGCGCGGGGGCGAAAGGGAGGCAAGUCCGCCGCAAGGCGGACGUGAGAGAAAUGACGGCCGAACCCCGACUUGUCGGGGGGAACAGAAUCCGGCUUACCGGCCCCAAAGCUAA
rnacentral:RNase_P_RNA from 1 species